GGGACCUUUUCGUGGCGUUUCUAGCAUAAAAUCUAUAGGUAUAAAUUACAUUAAAAUCUGUUUCUUUUACAUUUUAUCUAUCUGAACAUGAUGAAUGGUUAUAAAUUUAAAAUUAUUUAUUCUACAGAAAAGUAUCUUUUGUGGUUUUAUGAAAAAUAUACAACGUGGAAACGUCUUUGAUAGAUAGCCAUAUGCUUGGUUAACUAAAUAAUCAGACGUGAACCAAGUUGCUUUGGUCUAGUGGUAAAGAAGUUCCAGCUGGAGUGUUCGCCCCCGCUCAUGGGUUCGAGCCUUGGCCACUGCAGAAUUUACAUAUGGACUGCAGCAUCCGAGACCGAAGACCGUUACACGGUGAGCCACCUGGUGACUUUCGGGUCCAUACUCAGUUCGGUUUUUAGUCUGGACCACCACGGUGGGGCUAGGAUACUCGGUUAGCAAAAAAAAAAAAAAAAUCAGACUUCCUAAUACUUCAGGAUACAACGUAUGGAUGAUUGUAUAUAGAUAAGCAAAAAAAUAUUUGCAUGUAGCAGCGAUUUGCGGUUAGGCGCAAGUCACAUGUUGUUGUUCAUUUACUUACAUGAUCGUG
rnacentral:lncRNA from 1 species